rnacentral:rRNA from 1 species
AACGAACGCUGGCGGCAUGCCUAACACAUGCAAGUCGAACGAGACCUUCGGGUCUAGUGGCGCACGGGUGCGUAACGCGUGGGAAUCUGCCCUUGGGUUCGGAAUAACAGUUGGAAACGACUGCUAAUACCGGAUGAUGACGUAAGUCCAAAGAUUUAUCGCCCAAGGAUGAGCCCGCGUAGGAUUAGCUAGUUGGUGAGGUAAAGGCUCACCAAGGCGACGAUCCUUAGCUGGUCUGAGAGGAUGAUCGGCCACACUGGGACUGAGACACGGCCCAGACUCCUACGGGAGGCAGCAGUGGGGAAUAUUGGACAAUGGGCGAAAGCCUGAUCCAGCAAUGCCGCGUGAGUGAUGAAGGCCUUAGGGUUGUAAAGCUCUUUUACCCGGGAUGAUAAUGACAGUACCGGGAGAAUAAGCGCCGGCUAACUCCGUG